rnacentral:rRNA from 1 species
GCACAGCCCAAAACGCCAGGUCGAGGUGUAGCAUAUGAGAGGGGAAGAAAUGGGCUACAUUCCCUGUUCUUUCUGGGAAUACGAACAAUGUAAUGAAAUAUACAUUAGAAGGAGGAUUUAGCAGUAAGCAUAAAAUAGAGUGUUUUGCUGAAAUUGGCCCUGAAGCGCGCACACACCGCCCGUCACCCUCCCUGACCCAACAAAUCAAAGACUU